GAUGAAGAACGCAGUGAAAUGCGAUAAGUAAUGUGAAUUGCAGAAUUCAGUGAAUCAUCGAAUCUUUGAACGCACCUUGCGCCCUUUGGCCAUUCCGAAGGGCAUGCCUGUUUGAGUAUCAUGAACACCUCAACUCUUUAUGGUUUUCCAUGAUGAGCUUGGUCUCUGGGGGUUUUGCUGGCUCACAGUCGGCUCCUCUAAAAUGAAUCAGCUUACCAGUGUUUGGUGGGUAUCAUGGGUGUGAUAACUAUCUACGCUUGUGGUUUUUCCACAAGGUAACCUUCAGCAGUGGAGGUUCGCUGGAGCUCAUAGAUGUCUCUCCUCAGUGAGGACGGCCCUUUGAAUGUUUGAUCUCAAAUCAGGUAGGACUACCCGCUGAACUUAAGCAUAUCAAUAAGCGGAGGA
rnacentral:misc_RNA from 1 species